GACGAACGCUGGCGGCGUGCCUAACACAUGCAAGUCGAACGGGACCAGGGGCAACUCUGGUUCAGUGGCGGACGGGUGCGUAACACGUGAGGAACAUGACCUUCGGCGGGGAGUAGCCGGCCCAACGGCCGGGUAAGUACCGCGUACGACCACUUGGGGACGAUCCCUACGGUGGUGAAAGACAGCAAUGCGCCGAUGGAGUGCCUCGCGGCCUAUCAGCUAGUUGGUGGAGGAAC
rnacentral:rRNA from 1 species